rnacentral:sRNA from 1 species
UAAUCCAAUUGAAAAAAGGACAACGUGCUCCAACACGUUGCCCCAUGAGCCCGUUUUAAAGACGGUGACUAAUUUUUAAUAAUUUAAUA